rnacentral:rRNA from 1 species
GAUGAACGCUGGCGGCGUGCUUAACACAUGCAAGUCGAACGGAAAGGCUCCUGCUUGCCGGGGUACUCGAGUGGCGAACGGGUGAGUAACACGUGGGUGAUCUGCCCUGCACUUCGGGAUAAGCCUGGGAAACUGGGUCUCAUACCGGAUAGGACGAUGGUUUGGAUGCGAUUGUGGAAAGUUUUUUCGGUGUGGGAUGAGCUCGCGGCCUAUCCGCUUGUUGGUGGGGUAAUGGCCUACCAAGGCGUCGACGGGUAGCCGGCCUGAGAGGGUGGACGGCCACAUUGGGACUGAGGUACGGCCCAGAAGCCUACGGGAGGCAGCAGUGGGGAAUAUUGCACAACAGGCGCAAGCCUGAUGCAGCGACGCCGCGUGGGGGAUGACGGCCUUCGAGUUGUAAACUACUGUCGCUAGGGACGAAGCGCAAGUGACGGUACCUGGAGAAGAAGCACCGGCUAACUACGUG